rnacentral:lncRNA from 1 species
AAUAUAUGCACUAACGUAAAGAAGGAAGAAUGAGAAAGGUCAAUCGCAAACACAAGGUUUUAUAGUGGUUCGGAGCUUCCACUGCUCCUACAUCCACUCCCCAAAUCACCUUUGGGAAUUUUCACUAUAAUCCACGAUUACAGUACGGUAGUUUUGCGAGUUCACUACCUAACUCGUUGUUUUACACCGGGCUCACAACAAACCCAAAACCCCCAAUUUCACUUAGGCUUGGGACGCCUUUCCCUUG